rnacentral:lncRNA from 1 species
UGUAUUUGUAAGAAAGCAGUGAUAACAAAGAAAACAAAAGAGAAAAUCGCAUCAUCUAAAGAGAAAGAAACAUGUAAGUUGAUUGUUACUUUAAACAUUCUGAUAUACGUAUAUGAUUAUGAAUGACAAAUAAUACAUGUUUUUUUAACCACAAAUAAAACUUAUUUUAUUUCUGAAAUCUUUGUUAAUAAAAUUAACGGUACCAAUUUUCUUGCACCAGAUGCGCAUUUCGACAAUACAUGUCUCUUCAGUGAUGCUCGUGGCCAAAAUAUUUGGAAAUCCAAAGCUAAUAUAAAAGAUGAAGAGCUAUAAUCCAAAAGGUCAAAAAAGUAUAGCCAAAUCCGUGAAAGUAAUCAGAGCUUUGCAUGAGGGAGAUACAUUCCUUAAUUUAUAAUAAUUUCUAAUAUUUUGUAACAGCAAAUUUUAAUAACACAAAAAAUCCGUAUGUUCAUGCCAGUACCGAAGUACUGGCUACUGGGCUGGUGAUACCCUCGGGGACUAAUAGUCUACCAGCAGAGGCAUCGACCCAGUGGUAGUAAUAAAAUUAACGGUACCAAUUUUCUUGCACCAGAUGCGCAUUUCGACAAUACAUGUCUCUUCAGUGAUGCUCGUGGCCAAAAUAUUUGAAAUCCAAAGCUUAUAUAAAAGAUGAAGAGCUAGAAUCCAAAAGGUCCAAAAAGUAUAGCCAAAUCCGUGAAAGGAAUCAGAGCUUUGCAUGAGGGAGAUACAUUCCUUAAUAUAUAAUAAUUUCUAAUAUUGUUAAAUGUGAAGAUUGCAUUUAUAACCCUUAUCAAUGGAAAAGUGUAUUUUCGAGUUUUCCUUGUUACAUACUGUUUCAGAAUGUUGUUUAAUUAUUUUUAGGUCAUACAAAUUUAAAAGAAUUGGACAAAAUGCACAAUAAAUUACUUUAAGUUAGUAACAUAAUAGCAAUCCUUAAUGCCACAUCGGAUUCGAAAUUUGAAAAUAUAUACAUGAUAUAUGCAUAAUUAAAAUGUUAAAUAUUAUAAUACCGAUAAUGCUGUUGUAUUUAGAUUUGAUUUAGAUUUUUUACUAGAAUUAUUCAUUUAGUUAGAACAUUUUUUUACAUGGUUCUCUUUCCUGUAUCCAUAUCUACCCUCAAUUUUCCGGCUAAACUUAGCUAGCACAGUGAAGUCUAACAAUUUAAAUAGAUGUUGGAAGAUGUGGUAUGAGUGCAUUAUCCCUAUGGCAUCGCAUUGUAUAGUCUAGUUUAAACAAGAGUCUUUUAGGAUUUAUUAUAUUCAUAAGAAGUAUACAUUGAGUACUAAUUUGUUCAUUUCUUUAUUACAGGGGCAGUAAAAUAAUUUUUAUGAAGAUUUGCUACACUGGAUAAGAAUUAAACAAAAGACAUAUUCAGAAAAAAGUUCCAAAUGAAAGUGUAGCAGAAAACAAAAGGAACACUCUUGUGAAUACAACCCAUGUUAGAUUACAAAACUUGGAAAUAACUGUAUAAACCUAAUGAAGUGAAAUUACAGAACUAGGAAGUAAGUGUAUGAACAUGAUGAAGUGAAUUACAAAACUUUGAAAUAAUUGUAUGAACCGAAUGAAGUGAAAUUACAGAACUAGGAAAUAACUGUAUGAACCUAAUGAAGUGAAAUUACAGAACUAGGAAAUAACUGUAUGAACCUGAUGAAGUGAAUUAUAUAACUAUGAAAUAACUGUAUGAACCUGAUGAAGUGAAAUUACAGAACAAGGAAAUAAUUGGAUGAAUCUGAUGAAGUGAAUUACAGUACUCGGAAGUAAUUGUAUGAACAUGAUGAAGUGAAAUUAUAGAACUAGGAAAUAACUGUAUGAACCUGAUGUCAGAAGUGAAUUACAAAACUAGGAAAUAACUACAUAUGAACCUGAUGAAGUGAAUUACAUUUACAGAAAUGAAACAUCAUGACUAUACUUUAUAAUUUUCAUU